AAAGCCUCACUAAACACCAGGUGUGGUUGAUCAAAGGUUGUAUUGCGAUCACAUUGGUCGGGGAGGAGGCCAGCAGUCUUAUUAAAUACUGUGGAGGAAUUUGAUGAGACAAAGGUCAAACAUUUAUAGUGGAGAGGAAUGUGAAAAGUGUUUAAAUGUGUUCCCCCCACAGAGAUUAAGAGAGCAAAAAAUGUAUCGAUGGCUGGCUGAGAAUGGAUUCCUUCUUAACGCUUUCAUUUUGAUUUAAUAAAAUUAAAAUAAUUCAAUUUAAAAUAACUGGGAGCAAAUGAUGAAAGUUGCAGACACUAUGUGUAACGACCGCGUCGACGCCCGCUGCUGAGGGCGCUGCACUUGGCGUCAGAUAGCAAGAGAACUGAAGACGAGCAGCUCCCAUCUCAACAAUACUCUUGAAGUAAGUACGGCACUUCAACACCUAAGGUCGCCAUGUCAGAUUUUAAACAACCACCGUCAUUGAGGUCGCCGUCAUCCUCAUCCUCGCCGGUUUAACAAAGACGCUUCAUGAGAUUGACCUUUUCCAUGCAAUUUGUUCAAACAGCUGGACUAGCGAUCAGUCCCAGCUUGCUUGUCCAUGUGACGUCAGGUUCUUUGUCCCCUAUCAUCCAAAUACCCCUCAGUCCACAGUACCAACUGCUUUUUUGGAUCUGUGUUGAGGCAUUUUAAUGUGCAUGUUGUGUAAAUGCACGUGGAGGUUGGGCAGGUUUGGCAAUUUGUUGAAAGUCUUUUUUUAUUAUUAUUUAUAUCAAUAGAGGCUAGUUUUUGAUGAUGUUGUGUAAGAUUUUUAUGGCAAUUCUAACAUAGUAGUAUAAUCAAUGGAGUAUUACAUUCCAUUAUUUAUAUAGAGCAAGAAGGAAUGUCACAAAAUGCUGUGACAAUUCACAAGAGAGCAAUUAUCUUGUUAUUUUGUACUUUUCGACCUAUUGUUUACAGUUAACAGUGGCUGCUUAAAACAAUCCCUGACAUUCUACCUGCUGCCAAUUUGAUUGGUCAGGAAAUUUUCCACCACCAAAGCAAUACAAAUCUCAAUAAAGAUUUUUUUUCAAUAAAAUCGCACACCACUAAGAAUCACAACACGCAUGCAAACCACAACCGUCCAAGGGAUGGUUUACACGUGUACGUUACUGUGAAAUCUGAUGCGUACAAGGUGUUCUUGUAUGUAUCUGGAUCUCAUAUGGCAAUAACACGCACAGGCAUUCCUUUGCCAGUGUCCCAGAACAAGCCUUUUAGAUUGAGAGCCGUGCAGGGCAGUGCUGGCUGGGGGCCACCCAACACGGGGCUGCUAGGCAGGCGGACCCCCUUGGCCCGUCUUUGUGAACACAAAGCGUUCCCAUUGCUCUGGGCUUGAUAUCUCCACAGAGGGGAAGGCUGCGGACCUCUGAUAUGACUGUUCGGACGGGGAGCGUGCACUGUUAUUGUAAUCUCCCACGGCAACCUUAUUCUUAUAUUUUUUUUCUCUCCACUGUGACCCUCUCACUGUUCUACUCGUCCACCCCUCCUCCCCUUGGGCUACUUCCACUGGUCCCACAACGUCCAUUAUCCCCCUGCUUCCUGCAUUCUCUCUCAUUCUCUCCAUCUCUCUCCCAGCCUCCGCCCUGUCCAAGCACAGAUGUUACAUUGUUCUGUAUUACGUUCUGCUUAAUAUAUAUAUAUAUAUAUAUAUCCACACACGCCUUUUAAAUAAGUAUUUGUUUAUUUGACAAAACCCAGCAGUUAAUAUGUUGAUCCUCAUCUAAUAUCAACUGCUAACCACACAACCCUUAACUGCUCACAUAACAAUGAUAUCAUGCAAUCAAACCUUGACCAAGGAGGGACCAAUGGAUGGUUAAAAAUGUGUGGAAAAACAUUUUAGUAUAUGGUGGUUACUGCCGUGAACAAAGUGACAAAGUGAACAACUAAUGAACAGGUGAGCCCCUUGCUUGUCAAAUUUAUCAUCAAAUGACCUUGAUUCUGCUACAAGAGGGGAAUUCGUAUUUUAAUUUAAACUUAAAAUGGGUGGAAGGGAGAAAUGUUUAAUCUAAGAAAUGGCAAAUUACAUACAAAUUACAUUUGUAAUAAAAUGAAUUAGGUAAAAAGGGGCCAUGCAUGGUCACCGAUAGAUUUGAACUAUCUCAGUAUGUCUCUAGCAAUCGGUAAAGUUUUUCUUACAUUCCUGCUUUCAACAAUGUUAUCAAUGUACACUUUUUCAUAUUGUUCUCCCAGGAAAUGCUUGAAAACAAUCCUGUUGCUCCUGGCUGGCCCCAGGCUCCUGCUGCAAGGGCCAAAUUGCUGCCAUGGCAGAAGGAUUCUGGUGGUACCCCUUGUGCCCCUGUGUCAACAUGGCGGCGGUUCUGCAAGAGCUGCACUCUAAAGGACACAGCAUGCUUGUGUUAAGCUCUGCCAAGAGCUGGUACAUCCCCGAACCCUCCCCCUACUAAACGUCCCUUAAUGUACGUGUGAUGAAUACCACGGCUUUGUGGGGAGAACAAAAGCCAUGCUUGGUCUCCACCUCAUCCUCAUAGUGAUCUUCAUUGUACAUGGGUGCAGUGGAGGAAACAUUUUAGUCGUACCUGUGGAUGGCAGCCAUUGGAUCAACAUGGAGGUAAUACUCAGAGAACUGCAAUCCAGAGGCCACCAACUCACUGUGCUGCGAUCCCCCAACAGCUGGUACAUCCCCGAGAUCUCUUCUUUCUACACCACCAUUACCGUCACAUCUCCAGAAGACCAAGGCGAAGGAUUUGAUCCUAGUUUAUUCUCUCUUCUCAUGCAGAGAUCAUUUGAACAAAACAAGAUGACACCAUUCUGGCAUUUUAUUGAGCAGCUAAAGGAUCGAGCUCAUACGAUUCACAUUUUUCACUCCGCAACUCUGCAUUUCAUCUCCACCAUAUUGAAUGACUCCAUUUUUUUAACGAGGUUGAAAAGCAACCGCUUUGAUCUGUUGUUAACGGACCCUGCCUUCCCCACAGGGGUGAUACUAGCACAAUAUCUCAAACUGCCAAUGAUCUAUAGUGUUCGUUGGAUCAAUGCUGGAGAAGCACAUGGAGAAUUAGCUCCAUCCCCUCCUUCCUAUAUUCCAGCCUACAACUCACUUUUCAGUGACAACAUGAAUUUUCUUCAGAGGACAUUUAACCUAUUACGGUACCUAGUGAGUAUCCUGAUAGAGGAGGUAUUUAUAAUGCCUGUUUACUCAGAACUGCUGCAUCGGCACUUUCCUCCUGGAGCUGACCUGCGUUCCAUGCAGCACUCAGCUGACAUCUGGUUGAUGAGGGUAGACUUUGUGUUCGAGUUCCCAAGGCCUACCAUGCCCAAUAUGGUCUAUAUAGGAGGUUUCCAGUGCAGGGAAGCCAAGCCCCUCCCUACUGAACUUGAGGCCUUCAUGCAGAGCUCUGGAGAGCAUGGAGUAGUCGUGAUGUCUCUUGGAACUUUGGUUUCCGCUCUCCCAAAGGAAAUGACAGAGGUCAUCGCUGAAGCUUUUUCCAGGCUCCCUCAGAAGGUGGUGUGGCGGUAUUUGGGCCACAGACCAUCUAACCUGGCCAACAACACCCUGCUGCUGGAAUGGCUCCCUCAAAACGACCUCCUCGGACACCCCAAGACUCGUGUUUUUGUUGCCCAUGGAGGCACCAACGGUCUGUAUGAAGCCAUCUACCAUGGAGUGCCAGUUCUCGGCCUUCCCCUCCUGUUCGACCAGUUUGAUAACCUAAUCCGUCUGAAGGGGCGUGGCGCAGCUCGAGUGGUGGACGCAUCGUCAGUCAAUGUGGAGGACUUUGUGGAGGCCUUGAGGGACAUGCUGGAGAAUCCCUCUUAUCGAGACAACAUUCGGAGACUUUCUCGACUGCACCACGACAAGCCCCUUUCCCCUUUAGACACUGCUGUUUUCUGGAUUGAGUAUGUCAUCAGGAACAAAGGAGCGGCUCACCUCCGCUCAGCAGGUUCCAGCCUGCCUUGGUAUACCUACCAUAGCAUAGAUGUGGUGAUCUUUCUCUUGGCACUCGGCGUUGCUCUCCUCUGGGUAUUGAUCUAUGCCUGUAGGCUCUGUCACUGGAGUUACAGAACUAAGAGCAAAGUUGAGUAAAAUCGGUUCUUUCGAUUUCAUAUCGAUAUUUAAAACACCCUAAUUUACUUUAAAAUAGACAAACUCCAUUGAUUAUAUUCAGUAUACAGUUGUUUCACACAUGAGGAAGGUUUCACUUUGAAGUAUUUAAAAGACUGGUCAUAUUGCAAAAGUUAUGUUUUUUGCAUGUUGUAAAAAAUACUUUAUAGGACCCAUUGCCUAAAAUUCCUAUUCAACAAUUUGAAUUAUGUAUGGCUUUCUCCCCAGUGGUUUUACCUUAUUUAAGAUUGUCUACUGCAUCUCUGUGUUACAUAACUUCUUAGGUUUUUGACGAUGAAGACAAGAAUAAUCAAUGAGAGAUGUUCUUAUUUCAGUGUCAUGUUCGUGAACGUCAAUCAAUAAAAUGUGGGUCUAUCCAUCAUUAACUUUUUUCUCAAAGAAAACAAAUGUUAAUGUUUAUGUUAACUGAAUUGUAUCAAAAAUAUAGUUAUAGUAGUCAUCUGAAUAUAUAGUUCUAGUAGUCAUCACAUGGAUCCUAUUCAAAACAAAAACAUGGUUCUUUGUUAUGCCAUAGCCAAAAUGAAGAUUAGGGCCACAGUGAUCACACUUCAAGCAUAACCUAAUCCCAAAGAACUAUCCUGAUACUUUUACACAGUACCCAUAUGUUGACAUUAUUCUGAACAUAUGUUGAUAUUUGAUAUUCUCGACAUUCUCCUAUGGUACACACAAUCCACCUUCCCCACCACUCACUGCACUGAAUUAAUGAAAACAUUAGAUGCUAAAUAUAUUGCAGGUACCUAACCCUAUCGACAUGAGAUGCAUCUAAUCUCAGCUGCUGAUCUCACCGCUCGUCCUCCUUAGUCACCGGUUCUCCCAUCACACAAAACUAAAUUACUAGAAUGGAGCGAGCAAAAAGUGAGUAAGAAACCUUGAACAACAGGAAGACACAGAGAGAGACCAAGAGGUGGGGGGGGGGGGCGUGGGGUUCCUGGAUAGACGAGGCGUUCUCCCUGAACAGGAACUUGCCUUUUAAAAAACGGGAGAAGUGGUUUUCCUGUGGAGGAAACGAUCAGAGAAUAGUGGAGGCCCAGCCGAGACACUUUGUUCUCAUUGUAGCGACACACUGGUCAGGCAAGCAGCCGAGCAGAAGCUCACACGGUUCUCCUGUGGCGCACUGCGAUUCCUUGAUCCCAGUCGGAACGCUAGAAGGAACAAGGUGCGAUCUGGGUAAUAAAGUUAUUUCCUUUGACCCUCAAUGAAAGCUGUGAACUUUUUUGUGAAGUCGAGAAAAUGGCAGAGGGGGCCAUACUAUGCAAUAUGGAAGACUACAGAGAUGGAAGCACAAAGAGAAAACGCUAGUACUACAAAGAUCAAAAUGUAGAAAUGCCACAGCAUUCCAUUCAAUCUCAUCCUACCCAAAUCUCUCACUUUAUCAGAUUAUUUGUGAGCAAAUUAACCCAAUGUGAUUGUCAUUUGGCAGAUUUUUCAGACAUUUUCUACAUUCUACUGAAAACAAGGAUUUUUACCAUGUAAGGCGUUGGAGUGAUUAUGUAC